UUUCAUUCAAAUUUUCCAGCCAAUGAAAAUUUAACAGGUCUAUGUUUGUCCCUUGUAUGUGCGUGCUCAAACUGUCCACAGAAAAGUUGUCGGGUGUCCUGAGUCAUGAGUUGGUAUGGAUGCGGGUUGGACUGGACGCAUUUGCACUCAUGACAAGCACGUGGUAAACCUUGAAAUUACAGUAAGGAAACCAUGGAAUUAUAGUAGCACUUGUCAUCUACAGAUUAUACAGAAACAACUGAACCAAAAUAAACACUGCCUAUCAUACAGAAGACUACACACUGAACCAACAUAUACACUGCCCUAUUCAUAGUUCAACAUCUCACCGAUGCAAAAAGGCCUUCUUCUCCAUCAUUGUUGUUUCGCAGUCUGAAAAAAAGGAUCAAACAAGAAAUUAGACCAACCAUGAAGAUAUAAAACAAAAAGAGAAGCAUUCACACUGACCCAAAAAGCUGAGAAUACAUAGUACAACAUACAGUUAAUGAUGCAGAUGAGUGCAGUAAUUAAACAACUUUCAGCCAAAAGUAGAACUGAAAAAAGACUGGAAUUCAUGAACCUCUUUACUGUAAAUUUAAAGUAUAAAGAUAGAAGUUCUUUAUCAACAAAGAAGUCAGUAAUUAGAAUUUAUGCAUGCCGCCGAACUCACUGAAAAACAUAUCAUUGGCAUACUUUAUCCUCAAGUUGGGAAUGUCAGCGCUGGAAAAAUGGUUAUCAACUAGAGACCUUGUGGUCCUCACUUCCAUAAACAUGAAUAGAGGAAGAAAACCAAAGAUACCAACAAUGUAAAUCAAGAAAAUCAGGUCAGCCAUACUAAAAACAAAUUACCUAUUGGUCUGGUUGGGAACAGCUAGGAAGACAUCAUCAAUUUUAUCAAAAUCAAUUCAUUUCCUCAACAUGGGAGUAAUAAAAGUAUACCAAAAUCCUAUGAAGUUUGUUAUCUGUUCAAAUAAAAGAAAACACAAGAGAUAAAUCUUAAAAGAUAACAACACAAUUCUUUCAAAAAGGAAACUAAUUUGUAAUGUACUACGGAUCUCGUGAAUCUGCAAGUGAAAUUCAGAAUGCUCAUUAAAAGCCAGAUCAAGGAAAGCUAAGGCUCUUUCCUUCAAACAAACUAUGAAAGAAAACCAAUGCUUUCAAAUGGUUAUAGGGAAGCACAGCUGCAACGUGGAAGAAUAAUAUGAAGAAAAAAAAUGUAUAUAGAGGAAAUAAGAAAUAAAAAAUAAAUGCACCUAGGGAAGUACAGCUGUAAAUGUAUCGUCAUUACCAAGCCAGUUCAAGAGAGAUUUGAGGGAGAUGCUUGCAGAGAGGGAAGGAGGGACAACCGCAACAACAAAUUUGGGGAAAACUAUAGAAGAUCAUACAAGAAACGAUCCACAGGUCAGAAAUCUUUCAAUUCCAACUUCUUUUCUCAUGCCUAGUGAUUUUCUUUGAGAUCGAAGGACCUGUAAAAUCACAAGACAGAAAAGCACAGAUCAUAAAUUCUUUCUAUUCCACAUAGUGUCUCGCACAGAGCACUGUAGUUAAAAUUAAAGAAACUGGUCAAUUUUGUUUCAAAAGCACGAUGGCAAAGAAACUAAAUUUACAGUAGCAAAAAUACUAAAAUUACUAUUAUCAAGUUGCUGAAAAUAGUAGGCAAGCAGAAUUUCCUGUGCACAGCAAAGUUUUUGACACAAAGGUAGAUUCAGUAUAUUUUGAGAGUGUGAUUAGAUGCAACAUUAUCCAACAAAGACAAUGUGAUUUACAGUCUAAUUACCACUGUAAUUAUACUGAAAUUACACUGACUGUAAAUACAGUAAAUAUCCCAGUAUAAUUACAGUAAAUAUUGCACUGCGAUUACCCCUGGAAAUUACACUAUAAUAACACUGUAAAUUAUAGUUAAAUUGCACGGUAAUUACAGUAAAAUAGCACUAUGAUUUACAAUGUAAUUGCCCUGAAAAUUACACUGCGAUUGCUCUGAAAUUCCGCUGUAAGAACAUUGUAAUUACAAUGUGAUUACUCUGUAAUUUCAGAGGAAAUUACACUGUAAUUAAAAUGGAAUUACAGUCAUGAAGCUGUUGCAAACUUAGAUGCAACACUACCUAAAACAUAGAAGAAAAAAACAAAAGGGUAUACAGUGGAUGCAAAUAUUACCCAACUAAGACAAACCACACAGAAGAAGGUUCUAAAAUGCUUGUAGAUCCAAGAUUUUUUUUUUCCAAAAUGAUUGAAGAUCCAACAUAGACAAACCCGAAAAAUUACUUUAAUUGAAUUGAAAAUUUCAUUGUGAUCUAGUGUAACUAAGCUCAAAAUAGCACUGCAAUUGCAGUGACUGUAAACUAAAAUCACAGAAGUUACAGUAGAAAUUGCACCGUGAUUACCUCUGGAAAUUACAUUGUAAUCACAGUGCCACUUGCCCGUAUAUUUCAGAGGAAAUUACACUGUAAUUAAAAUGAAACUACAAUAACAAAGUUGAUGUAACUUAGAUGCAAUUGCUACCUGAAAACGUAGGCCACUACAUCUAACAAAAAACUGACAGCGGAAUCAGACGCCUUGACGAACAGAUAAGAAAAUCGACAGGGGAAUCGGAUGCACCGCUGCUGCAUCCAUGCAUCUUCCACUGCAAGUGCAACAAAUCGCACGCCAAAUCCACAUCUACGCACGAGUGCACAUACACAUACAUCUACAUCAAACAACAGGAUAAUCAAAUCAAACCACUAGAUCUAGGAGAAAUACAUCGGGGAAAGGGACAAGAACCAAAGCGAGGAGGCACUGGAGCGGAAAUCAACCUGAAGAAAGAAGAGGAGGAGACGAUCGGAAUCGCCAUGGACGACGAGG
rnacentral:lncRNA from 1 species